GUCUAUGGCCAUACCACCCUGAAUGCCCGAUCUUUUCUGAUCUCAGGAGCUAAGCAGGGUCAGGCCUGGUCAGCGCUUGGAUGGAAGAGUAUUUUUCACAUGUGCUAGUAGCUACGUAAG
rnacentral:rRNA from 14 species